rnacentral:rRNA from 1 species
AUGAACGCUAGCUACAGGCUUAACACAUGCAAGUCGAGGGGCAGCAUGGUCUUAGCUUGCUAAGGCUGAUGGCGACCGGCGCACGGGUGAGUAACACGUAUCCAACCUGCCGUCUACUCUUGGCCAGCCUUCUGAAAGGAAGAUUAAUCCAGGAUGGGAUCAUGAGUUCACAUGUCCGCAUGAUUAAAGGUAUUUUCCGGUAGACGAUGGGGAUGCGUUCCAUUAGAUAGUAGGCGGGGUAACGGCCCACCUAGUCAACGAUGGAUAGGGGUUCUGAGAGGAAGGUCCCCCACAUUGGAACUGAGACACGGUCCAAACUCCUACGGGAGGCAGCAGUGAGGAAUAUUGGUCAAUGGGCGAUGGCCUGAACCAGCCAAGUAGCGUGAAGGAUGACUGCCCUAUGGGUUGUAAACUUCUUUUAUAAAGGAAUAAAGUCGGGUAUGCAUACCCGUUUGCAUGUACUUUAUGAAUAAGGAUCGGCUAACUCCGUGCCAGCAGCCGCGGUAAUACGGAGGAUCCGAGCGUUAUCCGGAUUUAUUGGGUUUAAAGGGAGCGUAGAUGGAUGUUUAAGUCAGUUGUGAAAGUUUGCGGCUCAACCGUAAAAUUGCAGUUGAUACUGGAUGUCUUGAGUGCAGUUGAGGCAGGCGGAAUUCGUGGUGUAGCGGUGAAAUGCUUAGAUAUCACGAAGAACUCCGAUUGCGAAGGCAGCCUGCUAAGCUGCAACUGACAUUGAGGCUCGAAAGUGUGGGUAUCAAACAGGAUUAGAUACCCUGGUAGUCCACACGGUAAACGAUGAAUACUCGCUGUUUGCGAUAUACGGCAAGCGGCCAAGCGAAAGCGUUAAGUAUUCCACCUGGGGAGUACGCCGGCAACGGUGAAACUCAAAGGAAUUGACGGGGGCCCGCACAAGCGGAGGAACAUGUGGUUUAAUUCGAUGAUACGCGAGGAACCUUACCCGGGCUUGAAAGUUAGUGACGGACUUGGAAACAAGUCUUCCCUUCGGGGCACGAAACUAGGUGCUGCAUGGUUGUCGUCAGCUCGUGCCGUGAGGUGUCGGCUUAAGUGCCAUAACGAGCGCAACCCUUGUUGUCAGUUACUAACAGGUGAUGCUGAGGACUCUGACAAGACUGCCAUCGUAAGAUGUGAGGAAGGUGGGGAUGACGUCAAAUCAGCACGGCCCUUACGUCCGGGGCUACACACGUGUUACAAUGGGGGGUACAGAGGGCCGCUACCACGCGAGUGGAUGCCAAUCCCUAAAACCCCUCUCAGUUCGGACUGGAGUCUGCAACCCGACUCCACGAAGCUGGAUUCGCUAGUAAUCGCGCAUCAGCCACGGCGCGGUGAAUACGUUCCCGGGCCUUGUACACACCGCCCGUCAAGCCAUGGGAGCCGGGGGUACCUGAAGUGCGUAACCGCGAGGAUCGCCCUAGGGUAAAACUGGUGACUGGGGCU